rnacentral:rRNA from 1 species
GUACCGGGGCUCAAGCCACGAGCCGAAGCUGCGGGUGUGCGAAAGCACGCGGUAGCGGAGCGUUCCGUAAGCCAGUGAAGGGGUAGCCGUGAGGCGCCCUGGAGGUAUCGGAAGUGCGAAUGCUGACAUGAGUAACGAUAAAGGGUGUGAGAGACACCCCUCGCCGAAAGUCCAAGGGUUCCUGCGUAAAGUUAAUCUGCGCAGGGUUAGCCGGCCCCUAAGGCGAGGCCGAAAGGCGUAGUCGAUGGGAAUGGGGUUAAUAGUCCCCAGCCAGCGGAUGGUGACGGAUCGGGCAAAUUGUGCAUCCUUAUCGGAUUGGGUGUGCAGUGAACCGGUUCCAGGAAAUAGCCUCCGCAUGAGACCGUACCCGAAACCGACACAGGUGGACAGGUAGAGUAUACCGAAGCGCUUGAGAGAACUCUGCUGAAGGAACUCGGCAAUUGCCUCCGUAACUUC